rnacentral:rRNA from 1 species
CCUACGGGUGGCUGCAGUGGGGAAUAUUGCACAAUGGGCGCAAGCCUGAUGCAGCCAUGCCGCGUGUGUGAAGAAGGCCUUCGGGUUGUAAAGCACUUUCAGCGGGGAGGUAGGCGGUGAGGUUAAUAACCUCAUCGAUUGACGUUACCCGCAGAAGAAGCACCGGCUAACUCCGUGCCAGCAGCCGCGGUAAUACGGAGGGUGCAAGCGUUAAUCGGAAUUACUGGGCGUAAAGCGCACGCAGGCGGUCUGUCAAGUCGGAUGUGAAAUCCCCGGGCUCAACCUGGGAACUGCAUUCGAAACUGGCAGGCUAGAGUCUUGUAGAGGGGGGUAGAAUUCCAGGUGUAGCGGUGAAAUGCGUAGAGAUCUGGAGGAAUACCGGUGGCGAAGGCGGCCCCCUGGACAAAGACUGACGCUCAGGUGCGAAAGCGUGGGGAGCAAACAGGAUUAGAUACCCCAGUAGUC